rnacentral:rRNA from 1 species
UACGGGGGGAGCAAGCGUUGUUCGGAUUUACUGGGCGUAAAGGGCGCGUAGGCGGCGCAACAAGUCACUUGUGAAAUCUCCGGGCUUAACCCGGAGCGGUCAAGUGGUACUGUCGUGCUAGAGUGCGGAAGGGGCUACUGGAAUUCUCGGUGUAGCGGUGAAAUGCGUAGAUAUCGAGAGGAACACCCGCGGCGAAGGCGGGUAGCUGGGCCGACACUGACGCUGAUGCGCGAAAGCCAGGGGAGCGAACGGG